AGAGUUUGAUCAUGGCUCAGAGCGAACGCUGGCGGCAGGCUUAACACAUGCAAGUCGAGCGGGCGUAGCAAUACGUCAGCGGCAGACGGGUGAGUAACGCGUGGGAACGUACCUUUUGGUUCGGAACAACACAGGGAAACUUGUGCUAAUACCGGAUAAGCCCUUACGGGGAAAGAUUUAUCGCCAAAAGAUCGGCCCGCGUCUGAUUAGCUAGUUGGUGAGGUAACGGCUCACCAAGGCGACGAUCAGUAGCUGGUCUGAGAGGAUGAUCAGCCACAUUGGGACUGAGACACGGCCCAAACUCCUACGGGAGGCAGCAGUGGGGAAUAUUGGACAAUGGGCGCAAGCCUGAUCCAGCCAUGCCGCGUGAGUGAUGAAGGCCCUAGGGUUGUAAAGCUCUUUUGUGCGGGAAGAUAAUGACGGUACCGCAAGAAUAAGCCCCGGCUAACUUCGUGCCAGCAGCCGCGGUAAUACGAAGGGGGCUAGCGUUGCUCGGAAUCACUGGGCGUAAAGGGUGCGUAGGCGGGUCUUUAAGUCAGGGGUGAAAUCCUGGAGCUCAACUCCAGAACUGCCUUUGAUACUGAGGAUCUUGAGUUCGGGAGAGGUGAGUGGAACUGCGAGUGUAGAGGUGAAAUUCGUAGAUAUUCGCAAGAACACCAGUGGCGAAGGCGGCUCACUGGCCCGAUACUGACGCUGAGGCACGAAAGCGUGGGGAGCAAACAGGAUUAGAUACCCUAGUAGUCC
rnacentral:rRNA from 1 species